AUGAUGAUGAGAAUUGCUUGUGAGUUUACCCAGGAUUUUGGAACUUAUGAUGGCCUUAUUGAAGAUGCUGUUUUCAGAAAGAAAAAAAAAAGAAUAGAACAACACUGAUUGGUUUUCUGAAAAAAAAUUUUUUUAAGUUGUAUGUUAAAAGAUUUUCUCUGAGCCAAUAAUACAAUUUGUUGAAGAGGGAGAGAGAGGCCAGAAGUUCAUUGAAAGGGAUUAAAGAGAUCAAACCACAUUCUUAGAGACUGGAGAGAGUCUAUCUGAUAUUAUUACACGAGCUCAGACUUCUCUCCCUGUAGCAGUCCCUUCUUGUGAACACUGUCAUGUAAUUUCUUUCAGAUUCUAAGACUCCAGAAAGAUGUCUCAGCAGCAGCAGCAGCAGCAGCAGCAGCAGCAGCAGCAGCAGUGCAAGCAGCCCUGCCAGCCACCUCCUGUAGUAUGCCCUCCCAAGUGCAAGUAACAGCAUCAGCUUUCAUCCGGAUCCGGAUGAAAUCUGGUGCUGUUACUUCCACUUGGGUGGACACUUCUGCUCCCAUGGUGGGCAUGGUGGCCCAGGAGGGCAUUUCUGCUGGCUCAGUGGAGGUGGGCAUGGAUGAGGUGGGCAAGGCUCAUGACACUUUGGUUGGCACACUAUUGGAGGUGGAUGGCAGGGCUCCUUGCACUGAUGGUGAUGCUGAUGCGGAUGCUGAUGCGGAUGCUGGUGGUGAGACAUCCUUCCUGGGUCUCAAGGAAUCUGAAAUACAAACAGACAACAUUCUUCAUAGCAGAGAGUCCGAUUGGUAGAACAUUUAGCUGUGCCAACAACCGUCCGUCACUAAGGACUCUUCUUGAUUCUUAAUACAGUCUUUAUGGUUUUUUAUAGCUUCUUCACCAUUCUUUUUUAGUAUCUCUUGCCCUCAGAUCUUCAGUCUUUUCUGGUUAGUCUCUCCUUCUACCACAUUCUAAAACAAAAUUACCUACACAGGUGUUGUAUGAAUACAAACAUACUCUGAAGAAGAAUCUGGAUAAUAAACUUGUAGCCAAUCCCCAAACAAAUCUCUACUUAUUUCUCCCAUGAGGUCUUGGUUGCUGGCCAAGCUGACCUGACUGUGGGCUUCUGAGGAGAAAUGCAAAGGCCCAAACUAGGCACUCAAUGGGACUGAAUGCUGAGAAGGGGCAUUUGGAACUAAUGUGUGCUGUGCUGUAGCACAGUAUCUCAUCCCCCCUACUCUCUCUCAGGUUAAGACUGUGCCUCUGACUCCAUUUUCUCCUCACAUUUAAGAUCGCAUUCAUGACCAAAUACCAAAAAUUUACCCCUAAACCCUCAUUAUCUUCUUUUUCCCAUUAAGAGCUCUAAUUGCUUCAAUUAAAGCCACUUCAAUCCCCAAACUAAACCCUCCCACCCAAGUUCCAUAAAGAUCUCUAAGAGUUGUGCUCACCAGAGGCUCCAAAGAAGCCUAUGACCGUCACGACAAUGACAGCACUGUGAUGGAGACUCCUUUUAUAAGGACCAGGCAGCUCCACCCAGGGAAUACCCCAGGACUGGCACGAUGCACUUGUUUCCCACCCCAAAUACCACGUGCUUGCAAUCUCAAAAAUAAAUUGCCACACUCAUGCUGAUAUCACAAAUUUCCCUUGUCCAUGGACUUCUUUAUCCUUCACUAAGGAAGUGCAGAGUGAUUCACUGGAGACCUGGUCACAUACUCCCUGUGCCAUUGUUAUGCACGGUUAGGAAAUAUGAGGAAUUCUUUGACAAUAGUGUUGCUCCUCCAUUGUCAGACUUGGUGAUUCUUCCACUCCCCAGCCCCCAAGAAUCUGCUAUGUAAAACUUCCUCCCUAUUCCAUUUCACCUGCCAGCACCCAGCUUUGUUUCCCUUGAUGGUCGAGACUAGGAUUUACUAACCUCACAUAUCUUACCCACUACCCACAGUUUUUUUAAACUCACCUUCCUUACACCAUGCCCCACUGGUCUCUAGCCUUUUCUUGACAAUUAAAUGACUUGGGACCACAAAGUUGAAUCUUGUUUUCUAACUUUCUAGUUUCUGGUGUUGGCGGUCUCAUGCCAGGUGUGUUUUCACACAGCUCCAUUCAUGGACCCGACAGGAAAACUUGAUCCUUCAGUUUUCUGGGCCAUAAGGUCACAAGUUGAGAUGCUUUACUGAAGCUCUACUUUUGCAGAUGUAUACACUGAUCUGGUCUCUGCAGCCACAUGACCAUGAGCAACUUGUAGUCUACUAGAAACCCAAAUUCCUCUCUUCUCAUUAUCUUCAAAAUUGACUCAAUGUCUGGGCUGUAUCCAUUAAGAAGCUUUUCCACUAGUACUCCCCAAAUAUCCUUUGCCACUUUACCCUACAACAGUUAAUUCAAUUGACUCUAUCCUGCCAUUUUUUUUUUUUUAAUGACAUUUAGUGUGUUUUCAGACAUUCUUAGUAUACUCAAGGAAUGAAGCUCCAUGAGUCAUUGACCCCGCCAUUCAAUCCAUGGAUAUUUUUCUCUAAACAAAUAAACUAAGGGUGACAUAGAACCCGUCAGGAAUUUAUUAGUAUGCUAUGCUAUGCUAAGUCACUUCAGUCAUGUCUGACUCUGUGCGACCCCAUAGACGGCAGCCCAACAGGCUCCCCUGUCCCUGGGAUUCUCCAGGCAAGAACACUGGAGUGGGUUGCCAUUGCCUUCUCCAAUGCAUGAAAAUGAAAAGUGAAAGUGAAGUCGCUCAGUCGU
rnacentral:lncRNA from 1 species